rnacentral:tRNA from 1 species
AAUAAGGUGCCUGAUUAAAGGGUUAUCUUGAUAGGAUAAAUUAUGUAAUAAAAUACCCUUAUUA